GUGGUUGCCAGGCGGGGACUGUCUACUAGUGCUGUGCAGAGGCUUUCACUGAAGCUGCCUGUGAGACUGUAGAGUUUCCCCCUGGGCCACGGAGCUAG
rnacentral:pre_miRNA from 1 species